GUUUAUAACAUGAUUAUUGCUGACUGAAGGGAUAUUGAAUACUUAAAGUCAAUGUACGACAUAAUAUGCUGACUGUGACAGACUAAGGUAUUUCUUCUAUAGGAUGUAAGACAAUGCUAAAUUUCAGGAUGUCUUGCCCAUUCCGAUUUUAAGGAUAUUCUUUUCCAGACGUAUGCAAAAGCUUAUCUUUCCAUUGUCAGAAUAACGUAAUAUAAGGAAGUAAUAAAUCUUAUAGUCUGUACUGUAUUUGCAUAUACCAUGGCUAAUGUAAGCAAACUAUGUAUAAAAGCCAGCUCUGGAAUACACUCAUUUGAGAGUCUUGUAAAGCUGUUGUCCGUGUGUUAAUGCUUACAAUGAUUCUCCAUCAACGUUGAUUAUGGUGACCGAGGGAUCGAGAACCGAGGGGAUUAGAGUCCAUUACAACAUUAACCCUUUCAGCUUGGUGUCUAGAAGUGGGAUAGAUAGAAGUUGGAUCAGCAAAACCAUUGCGGUGAGUAGCCUUUUUGUGUCUUAUUUGACGCUGAUUGUCUAUGACCCCCGUUUGGUUCAGUAAGACUGUAUCCAGUAGAUAGGAAAGGUGUAAGGACUCUAGUUAUAUUGAGACUAUAAGAGGUCUCCGGUUUAUUAGACAUUUGGUCUAAAUAUAUAGGGUUUUGGUAACCCAGGUUAGUAUCUAAGAUAGAUACAGGUUUUUGAGACCAUAAGAGGUCUCCGGUUUAUUAUAGGGUUUUGGUAACCCAGGUUAGUAUCUAAGAUAGAUACAGGGUAUCUCAGGUAGAUACAGGUUUUUGAGACCAUAAGAGGUCUCCGGUUUAUUAAG